GGAGGAAGAGGAAGAUACAGAGGAGGACCUGGAGGGUACAAUGGACCCCAGGGAACCCCUGUUCAACAACAGCAACAGACUCCCCCUCAACAGCCCCCCCCUCUGCAGCAGACUGCAGCACAACCACAAUACAUCAUAGUCUGUAUCCAGCCCCUCCUCCAAAUCCAUAAGCACUGAUCUAUCAACAGCCACAGCAAGCCACGUUUGCACCGCUUCAAGCUUAGUUCCCUCAAACCUUAUGUCCCGCAACAGGUGGGUCAGCAGCCCAUAUAUGGGGCCCCACAACAGAGAGAUAAUAUGCAUAAAAGAAGCCCGUUCAGGAGUAAGAGGAGUAACAACUGGGGCAACGAAGGCUUUAGACGAGCAUUAAUAAUUUUUAAUUAUAGUCAGGCUGGACAUUGGGCUAAUUUUUGUCCUUAUCCACCACAGGGUUAGCAGUCUCAGUCAGAACCACUUCAGUACUCUCAUAAUGUCUAACCCCGCCAUAACAAGCACCCAACACAUAGCCACAGCCACAAGGUAACAGUGAUCCAUGGCACCAGGCCCGGACCAGAGACACAACAUUAGGCGUGCCCAGAUCCAACAGCUGACAGCGAACUGUAUCCACUGAACAGAAAUGUGCCACACCCACUAGUCACCCAAUGAUUCAACUGGAGACUAAAGAGACACUGAACAGGAAGCAAAGCGUCCGGUGGGACAGAGUAGAUGAUGAUGACAUCACACCUCUGCAUGACAACAGCCAGCAGUGGAGACUUUGGUUCAAAGUCCUGCAUCCCUACUCGCCACCAGGGGACCAAAGACAUUGUGCCCUUAACUCCUCCUUGAUACAAGAUGAGAUCUGAAUUCCUGAGGGACUGCCUGCAACACGAGAUUGAGGUUCAUGAAGACCCAACUGUGGAGGCUUGGAGAUCUAUGCACUGAACAAGGAGUAGCAGCGGCCGGUGAAUGAACACCAGAGUUGCAGAUUGAAUGCAGUCGUUGACACCGCAGCUCCACAUCACAGUGUUUGUCCAGAGUGGAGGCACAGAGAAGAACAAUGGUGAAAGCAGAGGUUGAGGCUACGGACUGAGUGCACAAAAACAAAUUAACACUUUCAUUACUCCACAUUUGAGAACAUUACAGAAUUGCACACACAUCGGAGGUCCAGUUAUUAUUAAGAGACAAAUAUUAGAGACACAUGCUUAGACACACACAUAGGAGAGAGAACACUGAUCAUGGGGACACUGACAACAUGCGAAACUUAUUUCCAGACACUUUUAGGACUAAAGGGUGAACUGAUGUGUGACUGAUUCUGAUAGCUCCCAUAGAGAUAGAGUUAAAACUAAGUACGAUUCCAAUUUAAUCAUCACCAGCAUCCCUUAAGGAUGGAACAGACUAGAUAUAUUUUUAAAUCAUAGAAUGGUUGUUAUAGGCAGGUGUACUGGAGAGGACGAGGGCGCCCUGGAAUACAGUAAUUAGUUGUCUCCUAAACUUGGAAAAUGGACCUUGAUUUGGGGCCAAUAAAUAAAUGUGUAACCCGUUCUUUAAUAAUUAGGCCGACUUAUUAUGACAUUCCUUACCCAAGCACAAUGAUGACGCUGUGAGUUCAGACAAGACAUGGUUCUCCUGCAUUGAUUUGACAAACGCAAGCAUUUUUUAUUUUAUUUCUCCUUUCUUCUAGAAGUUGACUGUUUAUUAAGAUUAUUAUUAUUGAAAAGGACGGAUUUAGGAAUUCCAUCCUAUUUCAAAAGAGGGAUAGAAGCACACAACAAUCUAUGUUGAGGACAGACUAUUAAGAGGAGGGCCAGACAAGUACAGACUAAUAGAUCAGAUAGCAGCAGGUUUAGAAUCAGGGACCCCAGAGAAUCAUAAAAAUAAUUUUUUGAAAUCAUAAAUAUGCUUGAUAAAUGAAAAGAUGUAAUCUUAUUUGUGUUCCUUCCAUAGUUGUGGUGAUAGUAGAUGGGGUUCAACGUCGACAGAUUCGAAGAAGAGCCGCCACUCCUGUACACAUAACUUGCGAGUGUUUGAUCACAUCCCAUAUAGUGCACACAGGCACACACUCAAGGUAUAGAGUUACAAGACGCAUCAGGUCCGACAACGGAACACAUUUUAACAACAAACUGCUGGGGAAAGUUGAUAUGCACUGGGCAUAACCUACAAGUUUGGGUCUAUAUAUCACCCUCAGUCUCAAGGAUUGGUUGAGAGAGCCAAUCAAAUUAUUAAAAGGAAAAUGUGCGAAGGCGCUUCCACUAGGUACUGAUGACCAUGAGAGCAUUACCAGGGGGGAAGACAUCACCAAGUGAGUUGUUAACAGGAAGAAGUAUGCCAGAGCCACCCAGAGAUGGAGGUCAUAUGCCACCUCUGGAUGUCUGUAAAAAAUUGAAAUGUCAGAAUACAUAAAAGCUCUAAUUUCUCUCUCACCAAAAGCUCUCUGAAACCAGGUUGUUCGAGCCCAGACGAUCGAGCAGGAGGCAGCAGAGCCAACCAAAGUAAAAGUAGGUGACUGGGUCAGGGUCAGGGUUCACAAGAGGAAGUGGACUGAGCCUAGGUGGACUGGUCUGUACGAAGUGGAGGAGGUUACUUCACACAUGGUCCAGGUCAAGGGUAAGGCAGAGGCACCUUGACACCACCUGACACAGGGACCUUGACACCACCUGACACCACCUGACACAGGGACAUUGACAGAAACACAAUCAGAUCUAAAGAUGUUGAUGCCACAGAGGUCGUUCCGUAGGUGUGUCGGGGAUCCUGAUAGCCCAGCUAGAAGGUCCCCCCGCAAACCACUAUAGGAACAGCUGGAAGUCAGACAAACUGUUCUAAUAAUCAUGGGACUGACUUGUCACUAUCGUAGGAUUAUUCAUUUGAGGGUUAGAGAAGAACCUGCCAAAAAGACAUUAUAAUAGAAAAGAUUAGGGAGAAUAUUGUUAUUAAUGUAUGUUGCCUGAGAGUGACUGUAUGUUAAUAUUAUAGAUUGAAGCCAGUUGAAUUACAUGAAGGAAAAGAAAAGUAGGAAAGACAGGAAAAGAAAAGUAGGAAAGACAGGAAAAGAAAAGUAGGAAAGACAGGCAAUGAAAGGUUGCAAAGACAGGCAAAGAAAGGUUGGAAAGAAAGGAGACAGAGAGAGAGACAAAUGAGAGAAGAAUUAGACAGAAAAGAGAGAGAAAUCGCAAGAAAAGAAGACUCUUAUUGUGAAAAUACUUGGUUAAGCGACUUGACCGGAAGUGACGUUUUGACCAUGGGUUAGUGACAUUUGACCCCUCCAUUGUUCUAGCGGAACUUUGAACUAAUCACUAGGUGUUAAAGGCUGGACUCACCUUUGAGUGAGGAUUGGCUGAUUUUGAGUCUAAGACUCUGGGGAUUAGAGAUGGCAGUCUCAUCAACAGAUAUCUCGAUGCUGGAAGGCUGAGGAAGCAGAGGAGCCAAUGAAGAAGCAUCCCUGAAUGAGAAACUUCUAACAGAAAGAAGAGGUUUCAAACAGGAUGUCCCCAACCACCACCAGAGGUUUGCAGGUGCUGAAUGCUGAGACAACAAACGUGACGAUGACCAGUGAUGGCUAUGUUGAGUUCUCUCCACCUUCAUGUUCAUGAAUCAAAUGGAAUUUGCUUCAGAAAUAAGGAGGGAGGGAGUAGAACUGAGAUGCUGAUAUGCUGUUAAAGGAGAUCGCUAAUGUACUGCAGCUGAAAUUAGACUACAUUGAAAAGGCUUAAACAAGACACUUGGCAUUUCAAAAGAAACACACUCACCUACGCACACACACUUAUACUCAAUCACUCAGCCAAUUGAAGCAGCUACCAAGAGUCGUCCUGGAACCAUGAAGAAGCAACAGUCAUGAAGAGACACCAUAACUUACAGACCACAGUCGCCAGAGGCAAUAAAGUAGCUGACCUCUCAGAGGAGAGAGCAGCAGCUGGGUUAAACAGAUGACAGCGCUGCCAUACCGGGACUCCCGGAACUUGCAUUGGAGGACAUCAAGCUCAUGCAGACAGAAGAUCCAAAGACAGUGGUGAAUUGUCUAAAGAAGAAACUGAUACUGAGAUAUGGUGAUAAAAGGAGAAUCAGAUCUGACAAUGGCACACAUUUUUGCAAACCAACA